CACGUUGUCCAUAGCUUUGGGGAAGGUGGCAUCUCCGCUGCGCACCGGCACUCCUAGGAUGAGGAGCAGGGCGGUGGUGGCAGAGGAGACGACCCAGCAGGCGGGGUGGUACAUCUU